rnacentral:rRNA from 1 species
CAGCAGCCGCGGGAAUACGUAGGGUGCAAGCGUUAAUCGGAAUUACUGGGCGUAAAGCGUGCGCAGGCGGUUCUAUAAGACAGAUGUGAAAUCCCCGGGCUCAACCUGGGAACUGCAUUUGUGACUGUAGAGCUGGAGUGCGGCAGAGGGGGAUGGAAUUCCGCGUGUAGCAGUGAAAUGCGUAGAUAUGCGGAGGAACACCGAUGGCGAAGGCAAUCCCCUGGGCCUGCACUGACGCUCAUGCACGAAAGCGUGGGGAGCAAAUGGGAUUAGAUACCCCCUUAGUCCCUGUCUCUUAUAC